GACGAACGCUGGCGGCGUGCUUAACACAUGCAAGUCGAACGGUAAGGCCCUUCGGGGUACACGAGUGGCGAACGGGUGAGUAACACGUGGGUGAUCUGCCCUGCACUUCGGGAUAAGCCUGGGAAACUGGGUCUAAUACCGGAUAGGACUCCUGGCUUCAUGGUUGGGGGUGGAAAGCUUUUGCGGUGUGGGACGGGCCCGCGGCCUAUCAGCUUGUUGGUGGGGUAAUGGCCUCCCAAGGCGACGACGGGUAGCCGGCCUGAGAGGGUGACCGGUCACACUGGGACUGAGAUACGGCCCAGAGUCCUACGGGAGGCAGCAGUGGGGGAUAUUGCACAAUGGGCGCAAGCCUGAUGCAGCGACGCCGCGUGAGGGAUGACGGCCUGCGGGUUGUAAACCUCUUUCAGCUAUGACGAAGCGCAAGUGACGGUAGUAGCAGAAGAAGGACCGGCCAAGUACGUGCCAGCCGCCGCAGUAA
rnacentral:rRNA from 1 species